UGGCUUAGUUGGUAGAGCAUGGUGUUUGCAAUGCCAGGGUUGUGGGUUCGAUUCCCAU
rnacentral:tRNA from 1 species